UCGGGAAUAUUGCGCAAUGGAGGAAACUCUGACGCAGUGACGCCGCGUGCAGGAAGAAGGUUUUCGGAUUGUAAACUGCUUUAGACAGGGAAGAAGCAAGACAGUACCUGUAGAAUAAGCUCCGGCUAACUACGUGCCAGCAGCCGCGGUAAUACGUAGGGAGCAAGCGUUAUCCGGAUUUAUUGGGUGUAAAGGGUGCGUAGACGGGAAUGCAAGUUGGUUGUGAAAUCCCUCGGCUCAACCGAGGAAUUGCAACCAAAACUAUAUUUCUUGAGUGCUGGAGAGGAAAGUGGAAUUCCUAGUGUAGCGGUGAAAUGCGUAGAUAUUAGGAGGAACACCAGUGGCGAAGGCGACUUUCUGGACAGUAACCGACGUUGAAGCACGAAAGUGUGGGGAGCAAACAGGAUUAGAUACCC
rnacentral:rRNA from 1 species